GUGCUUGCUUCGGCAGCACAUAUACUAAAAUUGGAAUGAUACAGAGAAGAUUAGCAUGCCCCCGCACAAGGAUGGUACACAAAUUAGUGAAGCAUUCCAUAUUUUU
ensembl:snRNA U6 U6 spliceosomal RNA